rnacentral:rRNA from 1 species
AUGAGCGGCGGACGGGUGAGUAACACGUGGGCAACCUGCCUGUAAGACCGGGAUAACUUCGGGAAACCGGAGCUAAUACCGGAUCAUUCUUCCCCUCACAUGAGGGGAAGCUAAAAGACGGUUUCGGCUGUCGCUUACAGAUGGGCCCGCGGCGCAUUAGCCAGUUGGUGAGGUAACGGCUCACCAAGGCAACGAUGCGUAGCCGACCUGAGAGGGUGAUCGGCCACAUUGGGACUGAGACACGGCCCAAACUCCUACGGGAGGCAGCAGUAGGGAAUCUUCCGCAAUGGACGAAAGUCUGACGGAGCAACGCCGCGUGAGUGAUGAAGGUCUUCGGAUCGUAAAACUCUGUUGUCAGGGAAGAACAAGUAUCGGAGUCACUGCCGGUACCUUGACGGUACCUGACCAGAAAGCCACGGCUAACUACGUGCCAGCAGCCGCGGUAAUACGUAGGUGGCAAGCGUUGUCCGGAAUUAUUGGGCAUAAAGCGCGCGCAGGCGGUCCCUUAAGUCUGAUGUGAAAUCUUGCGGCUCAACCGCGAGCGGUCAUUGGAAACUGGGGGACUUGAGUACAGAAGAGGAAAGUGGAAUUCCACGUGUAGCGGUGAAAUGCGUAGAGAUGUGGAGGAACACCAGUGGCGAA